rnacentral:rRNA from 1 species
UAGGGAAUCUUCCGCAAUGGGCGAAAGCCUGACGGAGCAACGCCGCGUGAGUGAUGAAGGUCUUCGGAUCGUAAAACUCUGUUAUUAGGGAAGAACAAAUGUGUAAGUAACUAUGCACGUCUUGACGGUACCUAAUCAGAAAGCCACGGCUAACUACGUGCCAGCAGCCGCGGUAAUACGUAGGUGGCAAGCGUUAUCCGGAAUUAUUGGGCGUAAAGCGCGCGUAGGCGGUUUUUUAAGUCUGAUGUGAAAGCCCACGGCUCAACCGUGGAGGGUCAUUGGAAACUGGAAAACUUGGGUGCAGAAGAGGGAAGUGGAAUUCCAUGUGUAGCGGUGAAAUGCGCAGAGAUAUGGAGGAACACCAGUGGCGAAGGCGACUUUCUGGUCUGUAACUGACGCUGAUGUGCGAAAGCGUGGGGAUCAAACAGG